CCCUGGCUGGCUCCAGUCAGUAGAGCAUGUGACUCUUGAUCUCAAGGUCAUGAGUUCAAUCCCCAUGUUGGGCA
rnacentral:tRNA from 1 species